CCUACGGGAGGCAGCAGUGGGGAAUAUUGCAAGGGGUGCAAGCCGGAACCAGCAACGCAGCGGGAAGGAAGAAGGGUCUCGGGGUGGAAACGGCUUUUAUCAGGGAAGAAGCAAGUGACGGUACCGGAUGAAGAAGACACGGCUAACUACGUGCCAGCAGCCGCGGUAAUACGGAGGGGGCAAGCGUUAUCCGGAUUUACUGGGUGUAAAGGGCGGGUAGGCGGGAACGUAAGUCAGAUGGGAAAACCCGGGGCUCCACCUGUGGCCUGCAUUUGAAACUGUUUUUCUUGAGUACUGGAGAGGCAGCCGGCAUUCCUGGUGUAGCGGUGCAAUGCGUAGAUCUUAGGAGGAACCCCAGUGGCGACGGCGGUCUGCUGGACCGCAACUGCCGCUGAGGCGCGACAGCGUGGGGAGCAAACAGGAUUAGAUACCCGGGUAGUC
rnacentral:rRNA from 1 species